rnacentral:rRNA from 1 species
GACGAACGCUGGCGGCGUGCUUAACACAUGCAAGUCGAACGGUGAACCUGCUUCGGUGGGGGAUCAGUGGCGAACGGGUGAGUAACACGUGGGCAACCUGCCCUCAGCUCUGGGAUAACUCCAAGAAAUUGGGGCUAAUACUGGAUAUGACCGCUGACCGCAUGGUCUGGUGGUGGAAAGAUUUAUCGGCUGGGGAUGGGCCCGCGGCCUAUCAGCUUGUUGGUGGGGUAGUGGCCUACCAAGGCGACGACGGGUAGCCGGCCUGAGAGGGUGACCGGCCACACUGGGACUGAGACACGGCCCAGACUCCUACGGGAGGCAGCAGUGGGGAAUAUUGCGCAAUGGGCGAAAGCCUGACGCAGCGACGCCGCGUGGGGGGUGACGGCCUUCGGGUUGUAAACCUCUUUCAGCAGGGACGAAGCGAAAGUGGCGGUACCUGCAGAAGAAGCACCGGCCAACUACGUG